CCUACGGGACGCAGCAGUGGGGAAUAUUGCACAAUGGGGGAAACCCUGAUGCAGCGACGCCGCGUGAGCGAAGAAGUAUCUCGGUAUGUAAAGCUCUAUCAGCAGGGAAGAAAAUGACGGUACCUGACUAAGAAGCCCCGGCUAACUACGUGCCAGCAGCCGCGGUAAUACGUAGGGGGCAAGCGUUAUCCGGAUUUACUGGGUGUAAAGGGAGCGCAGGCGGCGCGGUAAGUCUGAUGUGAAAGCCCAGGGCUCAACCCUGGGACUGCUUUGGAAACUGUGGAGCUAGAGUGCUGGAGAGGGAA
rnacentral:rRNA from 1 species